rnacentral:rRNA from 1 species
GACGAACGCUGGCGGCGUGCCUAAUACAUGCAAGUCGAACGAGAAAUUCUUACACCGGAUGCUUGCAUCCACCGUAAGAUUUCGAGUGGCGGACGGGUGAGUAACACGUGGGUAACCUGCCCAAAAGAAGGGGAUAACAUUUGGAAACAAGUGCUAAUACCGUAUAACCAUGAUGACCGCAUGGUCAUGAUGUAAAAGGUGGUUUUGCUAUCGCUUUUGGAUGGACCCGCGGCGUAUUAACUAGUUGGUAAGGUAACGGCUUACCAAGGUGAUGAUACGUAGCCGAACUGAGAGGUUGAUCGGCCACAAUGGGACUGAGACACGGCCCAUACUCCUACGGGAGGCAGCAGUAGGGAAUCUUCCACAAUGGGCGCAAGCCUGAUGGAGCAACGCCGCGUGAGUGAAGAAGGUUUUCGGAUCGUAAAACUCUGUUGUUAGAGAAGAACAGGAGAAGUAGUAACUGGCUUCUUUUUGACGGUAUCUAACCAGAAAGCCACGGCUAACUACGUGCCAGCCGCCGC